rnacentral:rRNA from 1 species
AUUGAACGCUGGCGGCAGGCCUAACACAUGCAAGUCGAACGAGUGGCGGACGGGUGAGUAAUGUCUGGGAAACUGCCCGAUGGAGGGGGAUAACUACUGGAAACGGUAGCUAAUACCGCAUACCAUCGGAUGUGCCCAGAUGGGUUUAGCUUGUAGGUGGGGUAAGGGCUAACCUAGGCGACGAUCCCUAGCUGGUCUGAGAGGAUAACCAGCAACACUGGAACUGAGACACGGCCCAGACUCCUACGGGAGGCAGCAGUGGGGAAUAUUGCACAAUGGGCGCAAGCCUGACGCAGCAAUGCCGCGUGUAUGAAGAAGGUCUUCGGGUUGUAAAGUACUUUCAGCGGGGAGGCGUUACCCGAAGAAGAAGCACCGGCUAACUACGUGCCAGCAGCCGCGGUAAUAC